UACGUAGGCAGCAAGCGUUGUUCGGAAUUACUGGGCGUAAAGAGUGUGUAGGUGGUGUCGUAAGUUUGGUGUGAAAUCUCCCGGCUUAACUGGGAGGGUGCGCCGAAGACUGCGAUGCUGGAGUAUGGGAGAGGGAAAGCGGAAUUCCUGGUGUAGCGGUGAAAUGCGUAGAUAUCAGGAGGAACACCUGCGGUGUAGACGGCUUUCUGGACCAUUACUGACACUGAGACACGAAAGCGUGGGUAGCAAACAGG
rnacentral:rRNA from 1 species